GAGUGCUGUUGAGAAGAGCUGCUGUUGAGUCUGAUAUCAGUGUGUGAGUCUCUUCUCUCUUUCUCUGCUGGAGUUUGUGUUUAUUUGAGUGUGACGGAGGUUUUUGUACGACGCUUUCACUAGAAUGAAGCACUGUGGUACACUUUUGGUGGAGGAACUAAACUGACCAUCGCUGGUCCCGCAGUGAAGCCCUCCGUGUCUCUGCUGCCUCCCUCUUCUCUGCAGAUCUCUGGAGACUCAGCCGCACUGCUCUGUCUGCUCAGCUCUUACUCUCCACAGGGGGCGCAGGUGAGCUGGACGCUGGACGGGUCAGAGGUCACCGAGGGGGUUCAGACCAGCGCAGAGAGCGAGCGGGACGGACGCUACAGCCGCAGCAGCGUCCUGAGCCUCAGCAAAGCACGCUGGGAAGCCGGCGAGCGCUUCGUCUGCAGAGUAACACAUGACGGAGCUGAUCACGAGACCUCGUUCCUCAAGAGCUCCGAGUGCUGAUGUUUCUCCAGUGAAGAGCAGCAGGAUUCACAGCAGUCUCCUGAUUUACAGCUCAAUACUCAAGCAGUCUUUCAAUGUGCUGCCAUUGCUGUUCAUUCAAUAAAGCUUCUGAACGCCUUCCAUUUGUGUUCGACUGCAUCAUU